rnacentral:lncRNA from 1 species
CUCCCCUAAUUAGCAUAAAAAAACACUUUAGAAGAAAGUUAAUAAACAAAGACAAAUCACUUAUCUACAACUUAUCGAACGAUCGUAGACAAACUUGGAGCGACACGAGGCAGAGUGGGAAAAAAAUCAAGAAGAUGAAGGGUAAAAGAGACCAGAAAUUCGGCAGCAAUGAAGAGAAAAAUGGUAAGAGGGUGGAGUGAUCUUGGGCAAAUUAAAAAGAAAAUAAAAAAAAAGAUGAACAGAAUAUUUGAUAACCACUCCAAUCCCUUAUUCUCUCUAUCAAACUCCCAACUAAAUCCACUACUCAGAUUUUUAGUCCAUCUAAAACUCUCCUGGACGCACGAGUAAAAAUAAUGCCCACUCCAAGAUUUGAACACAGGACCUCCUUCACACCAACACUCCACUUAUCCAC